AUUGAACGCUGGCGGCAUGCCUAACACAUGCAAGUCGAACGGUAACAGGGGCUUCGGCCCGCUGACGAGUGGCGGACGGGUGAGUAACGCGUAGGAAUCUUCCCAGUAGCGGGGGAUAGCUCGGCGAAAGCCGGAUUAAUACCGCAUACGCCCCACGGGGGAAAGGCAGGGGAGUCGUGAGACCUUGCACUAUUGGAUGAGCCUACGUCUGAUUAGCUAGUUGGUAGGGUAAAAGCCUCCAAGGCGACGACCAGUAGCUGGUCUGAGAGGACGAUCAGCCACACUGGGACUGAGACACGGCCCAGACUCCUACGGGAGGCAGCAGUGGGGAAUAUUGGACAAUGGGCGCAAGCCUGAUCCAGCAAUGCCGCGUGUGUGAAGAAGGCCUGCGGGUUGUAAAGCACUUUC
rnacentral:rRNA from 1 species